rnacentral:tRNA from 2 species
AAGGCCUUAGCUUAAUUAAAGCACCUGGGUUGCAUUCAGGGUAUGUGGGAUAAAGUCCUGCAGGUCUUA